AAGAUCAUAUCGUGUAACAGAUAUGCCUAUCAUUACGCGCGGAAUUCUAGAAGUAGAAUCGUAAAAGGCAGCAAGAGGCAGUUUCGUUCGUGGAGCCAGACGCGUAAAAGAAGAGAGAGAGAACAUUGAACCGACCCCUCUGCCCUGCUUUCGAAUUCUGCCUUUCAUGAGCGAACGAAGGGCGAUUUAUCGAACUGAAUAAAAUUGAUUAAUAAAGUUUCCCAUUCACAUACCUUAUUUCCUCUCUAGACAAAAAAAUACCGAAAAUUCGAAACAACCAUGACCAGACCCCGCCCGAAUGUAGCCUAUGAAUAGCCACGCCCAACUCCUCACUCGUUCCUUCCUGAGCGCGACCGAGCGCGACCGAGCGCGACCUCUCUCCCACUCCUCCCCACUAAAUGUUAUCUUGGCGGGAAGAAUGCCGUGGUCUCAUUUUACUGUGUCAGCGGCCAUACACCAUCGAGUCAAAGUGAAAGUGUUGUGGAAACAGGCGGAAGAAGGGAAAAUAACCGACAAAUGUUUUUGUUCAAGAGCAUUAUUUAAAGUGAUCAGAAAGUGAAAGAUAGGAAAAUUUCCAUUGUAAUGUUACCAAAAACAAAUAUUUAAAUGCUAUGUGAAGGUUCUGUAUAGCAUGACAGCGCAAUAAUAUUAAGUAAUUACAUGUGAACCGAAGUCCGACCUGCUUUUGCUGAAGAGAAACUUUCACGGCUUGGAAAAUGGACCAAGAAGAAGCGAAAACAGAGUUUUGCUCGAAUUGCCGUCGAGACAUCCCUGCUGCCAACUUUAUUAUGCAUGUGACUCAUUGCCAGAGGAAUCUGACAUUAUGUAAGGAGUGUGGAGAACCUGUUCCCACUUCGCAGCAGGAAGAGCAUUUUGAAGAAUACCAUGCAAAGG